GGUCAGGCUGAAGACCUUACCCGAUUAGCUGAGAGGUGGUGCAUGGCCGUCGUCAGUUCGUACUGUGAAGCAUCCUGUUAAGUCAGGCAACGAGCGAGACCCACGUCCACAGUUGCCAGCAUACCCCUCCGGGGUGAUGGGUACACUGUGGAGACCGCCGCUGCUAAAGCGGAGGAAGGAGUGGGCAACGGUAGGUCAGUAUGCCCCGAAUCUCCCGGGCUACACGCGGGCUACAAUGGUUGGUACAAUGGGCAUCUACCCCGAAAGGGGAAGGAAAUCUCUUAAAGCCAAUCGUAGUUCGGAUUGAGGGCUGCAACUCGCCCUCAUGAAGCUGGAAUCCGUAGUAAUCGCGUUUCAACAGAACGCGGUGAAUACGUCCCUGCUCCUU
rnacentral:rRNA from 1 species